AAAGCGAGGAAGACGCGAUGUAGUAGAAAAACUGGAAGAAAUCAGCCAGUUUCUACAGGGCUAAUGAGAGGCUGGCCGAGGUGCGCACUAAGCUUCAGCUGGAGAAGCAGCACAAGAGCUCUUUCCCCGCCUUUGUUCCUGCAAGGCCUGCUGGCGAACCGCCUCCUGCUGCUGGUACUAGCGCGGAGGCCGAAAGGAGUCCCACUCGAAGAAGGCGCUUCAGGACUGUUCCAGACCCUUCAACUAACUAGAGCGAUCCCUUGUUCCGGGAAUACCGAGGUGGCAAAGAUAGGGAGUCUUUAAAUUACAACCAGUUUUCAUUGUGUAUCGUUGUUAAAAUAGCCAUUUAAAGUGAUGUGCGUUGGUUUAUGGUUUGAUGGUGUUUUCAUGAUCUUCUUGAUGCAGAGAAGGGUAGCACGGGCCCUUGUUAAGUGAGAUCUCAGCUUGUUUCUUCUCACUUGGCUUCAUGUCAUAAUAAAUCAAAGAAGAAAAAAGCUCAGGUUUCGUAGACAGCGUUGUGGGUGAAUUGAGUCUAAGUGCUUCAGAGUCAUGAAACCGGACUGCGUGGCGUUAAAAAAAAACAUGCAUGGCUUACACUUCCGCCAGUGGCUAAGCAUGAUGCAAACGCGAAAUGUUUUCAUUAGUUGUCACCAAAAAAUCGACAGUGUGUCACUUUGCAGGAUGAUGGUGGAAGAGUGUGAGUGCAAAAG